UACUAUAGCUUGACACUGAACAUUGAGCCUUGAUGUGUAGGAUAGGUGGGAGGCUUUGAAGCGUGGACGCCAGUCUGCGUGGAGCCAACCUUGAAAUACCACCCUUUAAUGUUUGAUGUUCUAACGUGGGCCCCUAAUCGGGGUUGCGGACAGUGUCUGGUGGGUAGUUUGACUGGGGCGGUCUCCUCCCAAAGCGUAACGGAGGAGCACGAAGGUUAGCUAAUCCUGGUCGGACAUCAGGAGGUUAGUGCAAUGGCAUAAGCUA
rnacentral:rRNA from 1 species